GGGUCUGUAGCUCAGUCGGUUAGAGCAGGGGACUCAUAAUCCCUUGGUCGUUGGUUCGAGUCCAACCAGACCCA
rfam:Nitrosovibrio sp. Nv17 genome assembly, contig: Ga0111729_112